UGGUCAUGUGUUUUCUGAAACUGUAGCUGAAUAGUGAAGAAAGAAUCUCAAAGUGAAAAGUUUUAGAGAAAACUCUAUCAUGACAAGUUAUGAGAAACAAUCAGUUAUGACUUGAGUGAGUGAGUUUGGUUUUACG